UUAUUCGCUCGCCUCAGCCUCCCAAAGUGCUGGUAUUACAGGUGUGAGCCACCAAGCCCGGCCCAGUGCUCUUUCUAGUAAUGCACCCACUCCUCUGAUCCCACAGCUGCUGGGGAACAGCUCAAAGUAGAGCUGUGACCAUGGAUCUCAAAGGCGCCCGACCAUGAGUCAGUCUUGUGGGGGUUUCGUCAGCUCUGCUGAGCUGGCCCACUCUGGUGCCACCUGUGGGAAGAAGGACAUGAACCCACACAUCUGCUCACACCAGUCCCUUGCUCCAAACCCUUCGGGCCUUUCCUGUUCACGUGUCUCAACCUGGGUUCCUCAUAAGCGCUUGUCUUCCUGAAGGACUGAUUUUAUUUAAAGUUCUAGUGGAAAAAGACACCAUUAUUUUUCAUUUUAAUUAAGAAAGGAAGCAAAAUUCCCCUGAAUCUAGGAUAAUACAGGAACUUUGGCGCUUCACAUUAUUGCUACUCAUUAAGGGGGACGAGUUUAGUUUUCUCUAACAAUGGGGCUCCUUUAGGGGAAGUAUAAAGAGAAACAGGACAAAACCCUCCCUCCUGAUGGCCUCCAGAUCCUCCAAGGUUCGACCUUGCCAUGUGCACAGCCUCCAUCCCUGCACUGGAAGGGCUGGGGCCACACUGAGUCCCUGGGAUGCCCAGUGCACUCUGGGACCUGCCACUCUGCACUCACUGCCCCUGUAACUCAGCGUGUCUCCAUCUGGGUGCCAUUAACCUUGGGGGUGGGUGACUAUUCUCCUGCAGGGGCUGUCCUGGGCAUUGUUGCCACGUCCCUGCCUGGCCUCGACUCACUAGAGUAGCACCCCCAAGUCAGGACAAUCAAAAAUGUCUGUAGAAAAUGCCAAAUGUCCUGUGGUCAAACCGCCCCUGCCUCCAGCCCUGCUUGGAUGGGAGCAGGCUUCUUGAGGCGCUCUGCCUAGUGAUCUGACUCUUCUUUUAUGCUGCAGUGCAAACAUCGCCUCCCCUGUGAGGUUUACUGUGACUGCCCCAGGCAGCUUCGAUGUCCUCGCCCUGCCAGCUGUAGAGUUUGAUUGGUCUGCACCCAUUCCGUGCUUAUUUAUGAGAAUGUAAUUGUAUGCCCACCCUGGUUAGACUACGAACCUAGAGGUCAAGGAGGAUGCCUGCGACUCUACACGCUUCCAUCCUCAGCACUUAGCACACUGUCUGAUCUACUGAAGGAGUUGCGGAAAUGCAGAAGGAAUGGGCGAAUGGGAGGUUGGCCAUUGGAGGCUGGGACUCCCCCCAUGAGGACUCCUCAGCGAAGCUUCACGAUUGUCCCUUCCUCUCAGAUCACCCAAAAGCGCAGCCACCGGCAUAAUCUUGGCAUCACUACACCACGUGAUACUUGUUUGAAACCUAAUUUUGCCAAAGAAAUAACCCAGAUUUGUAUUAGUGGUUGUACACAUGGUAGCAGUGGUAAAGUAAUGGCAGCUGCUGGGGCUGUAUGAGCACCAGGUGUUUUCACUCUAACUGCUCACCCUCACUACCUUUCUGUGAUCUACACCUUAUUAUUCUCAUUUUACAGAUGGGAAAACUGAGGCUCUGAGAGACUCAUUCACAAGCUCAGCAUCUUAGUGGCCGUGGGAUCAGAAUCUAAGGCAAUUUUCUCCAAACACCAGUUGCUGCCCUGUCUUUGGUUUCUAAAUUGUUAUUCUUAAGGGUGAUUCUCAACAAGCAGGCAUUUAAAAUCGGAAUGUCCAAAGUGUGCCAGAUGAAUGAGUUACUGAUGCCUUGCUGCAAUUUGUGUCACUUCUUAUCAUUGCAACGAACAUCAAAUUCUAUCAAAAUAUGGGAAAAAAUCAUUUUGAUGUUGCAUUUGCAUAUCCAAGGAUUGCAGGAUGGUUUGUGUAAUCAAAUUAUGUAGAGUUGUAAAAAGGGAGCAUCAUUUAAAUAGCUUACAAAAUUACUUUGAAGAUGCACAUUAAAAUCUAAAGAACCCAUCGCCUCCAAGAUCUUUACAAAAAGUUAAAUGCUAAUUGAUUAUGACAGCUUUGUCUUUAUCACUGGCACCAUUCUCCAUUUCUACUCUGUCAAUAUCACAGCUCAAAUAUCACUCUGUCCUCUGUUCCUCGUCUAACCACAUUCAUUCCACGCUGUAAUAACAGAUGGAAGUUUAUGCAUGACUAGCUUUUCCCCCUUCUCGCCAUUGUUGAUCAAAAGGAGCAGCCCGAAAAAAAAACAGAAUUUGCUGAAAUUCUGAUUUCUUUCAGCAGUUUUAUAGAUUUUAUAACUUAUCUUUUAUUGACUAUGCAAGGUCUCUGCUCCCCAGCAUCUGUUGGUUGCAUCUGGGGAGAAAGAUAAAUUCCCUUUUCUUUAAUGCUACUGAACCAAAUUUAAGAGAUAGACAAACAAACAGGUCUCAGUAGAAGAGGACAGCAUCACAUCCUUCUUCUGCAGCCCAGCUGUCCUCUUUCCCAAUCCCUGUGUGGGCAGGACAGGAGGAGGAGGAAGUGCCUUGUAGACCAUGGAAUCUGCCAGCCCAUCAGCGAUGAAGGUGCCACAGACUGGCUAAUGGGGCUUAGGGAGGUGCUCCCCCCAGAGAGGGGACCUGGGGUCAUAGCUAUGAGCACAAACUUUGAAGAGGCUGCUUUGUAAACUUUAUAAAAAAUUCACAUCAUUUACAAUUUCUCAGACUUAAAGAAUUGUGCCCGGUCACCCAGAGACAUGAUUAUACAUCACAGAACUUCAUUAUAAUAAUGGCCCCGGUACUCCAACUUCUUGAAAGCCUCAGCUGUUCGAUUCAGCCUCUUCAGCUCCGUAACUGUUUAUAAGAUUAAUAGACUCUGAUGCAUAAUUGACUAUCGCACCAGGAGGAAAAAAAAAGGAGAGAGAGUCUAAUCGUAGCCCUGGUAAAAGCAACAUUCCCAUAAAGAGAUGGUGUUUGUCCACAUGGACAGGGUCGAGGAUGAGGAGAAUGGCUAGCACCACCAAGUCAGGAGAGAAGGGGAGAUGGAUGAGAAGUCAGCCCCGGGGAAGGGAGUCUUGGAAAGUCUGAUGGACAUGUCCCAUCACUUAGAGGCUUCAGUGAACACCCUAAAAACUCUGCUCAUUGCAGAACUGGGUGGGAUUCAGGGCUACAGCAGGGAGCAGGGGAGCUAGGAAGAGGAAAGAAAGAGGACAAGAAGGUCCCACAAUGCAGGAAGUGGAAGGAAAUAGGGAAUCCACAGAGCAGCGGGAUGGGGUAAGAGCUUGACAUCUAGUGGCAGGGAGCUUAGAGAGAGAAUGAGUGCCCUGGCCCCCCUUUCCCUUGCUGAGGUUAUGGUUACCAGGUGUCACACCAGGUCCCGCAGAAGACCAGACACACUCUAGGAAUUACGGCAGGGCAGGCCUUUCUCAAGGCAGAGGAGCAAGGGCAUCACUGCAGGCUGGAGGGAAUGGAGGCCUUGGGUGAGUGAGUGGUGGGGAAGCCACCGCCACACAGGGGAUGGGCAGUGGCCAGGGCUCAGAGGCUGGGCAAGCUCCAGAAGGCUUGGAGAGGGGCCCAGCUGGACCAAGGCAGGCCCCAGAUGGCCAGGGCAAGAGCACCCCUGAGCUUCUAGGCUUCCAUCAGGGGGUCCCUGCAUGCUCAGCCUGUCAUUUGUAUAAAACUUGAAUAAAGGAGUGAGUCUAACCAAAAGGUGGAAACGGCAAGCCCAGUGUUCUUUGCUAGCCUACCUUUCCCCUGCUCUCCUUUACCUGCCCCUCUUCUCAGGACUUACUUCAUUCUUCUGGAAGAAGUCUUGCAGUCUUCCUGGAAAACAAACACAACAGAAAAGCAAGCAAGAUGAGAGAAGACUGACAUGGAGACAGCCUUAUUUUCAACUCUGUAGUGAGAGACGCAUGCCGGAGAGACCUCACCCUGUUGUUAGAGGGAAGAGCAAUUGAAGGUUAAAAAAAAAUCCCUUAGGGCCUGUUGGGUGCUAAUUUGACCUGGCAAUGAGAUAAAGUUAGGCCUUGGCUGUCUUCAAGCAGCUGGGAUCGGAAUGCCAUCUACUCAGCAUAGGAGUCAAAGAAUUCCCUGGCAAUUGAUUGCUUUCCACUUGCAGAGCUACUGAAUAAAUAGAAAAGUAAUUAGCAGUGUGCUAGGGCUAGAUGUAUCAGGUGGAAUUUCUUUACAGCAGAAAGAACUAAGAGAAUCAAGAAGUCAUUUUGUGUCCACUGUCAGAUGAGUCGUUCUGUUUCUUUCUCUAGGAUGGACACGUUAUCUCUGCUUUUCUUCAAGAAGAAAAACUUUGGAAUUUCCUAUCGUAUCUUCACUUUAAUCAAGGGGAAAAGAAGAAAAGUCUUAAGUGCCUAAAAUUGGUCCAAAAAUAAAGAAUUCUUUUCGCUUUUCCAUUUAAUGAUUUUGCUCCUGAAACCUAUGGAUGAUUUUCUUUUGUUGUAUUUUUUGUUUUUUCCUCAACUAUUAAAUAUAUGAAUUUUGAAAUGUGAACUGAAGGUCUCAUUAUGAGUUCUUCUCCCUUUGAAAAAUAAAUGGCAUUAUGUCAUUUACAACAGCAGGAAGAGAUGGAGUUUCACAUGAAGGAAAUUUAUGCUCAGUUGGAAAGAGAAAAGGCGUCUAAGCCAUUUAUUUUUAGAUGCCUUUAAAAAUAUAUAUUUGAAAGUACUAAACUCAAUUUCACAUGUCCAGAAUGGUAUAAUCUAAUUUUAGUAUAUUAAUUAACAAUAAAAGUAGUGUUUUGCCUCAUACAAAGGAAUAAAGUAAUUAACUUACUGAGGAAAUGGGGUCAUAUGAUUUUACUUUGAGAGGAUAAUGAAUGACACUGGGUAACUGUAACACAAGGGUUUUGCAGAGCUGCUCUGGCGGUGGAGCCUGUUUGGAAUUCUCUGUGGAACACCUCACUAAGAACCAGCUUUCUCCCCGCGAAGCCUCACCUGUCUUGACUCAGACUAAGUGUGCACACGUCAGCAAGGCCGGCCAGUGCUCGUUAGGAAGAGCGCUGCGUGCAGGGGAGGCGUGUGUCCGAGGACUCUCCAGGCUUAGUUGAGGGUCCAGACACUCCCCAAAUCAACAUGUCCUUGGGCUGGCUUGAGCACCAAGGUGCUUUCUACUUGAGGAAGGAAUUCCAGCAUUUUACAUCUUACAUAUUUGGACCUUUGAACUUGAAAUAUUUUGUUACACUUCACAUAGCUUCAUUCCCUGGGGGGGAGAAACCUAGUCUUUCAAGUGGUUAUUAUAAAGCUAAGUACAUAAAUAUGCAUGAGAGGCCAUUAUUACCACAAGAUGAUACUUAAAAUGUUCAAGUGCCUCUUACUAAGAUUUUUUGACUUGUUCAGUGACAGCAAAUCAAAGUCUCCAGUGUUUUGUUGCUGAACUUUGCCUUUGAUUGUUCUUUCAAAGUUUUCAAGGAAAGGGAAUGGUUUUUGGAGGCCUGACUGGGAUUCAUUCAUUCAUUCAUUCAACACAUAUGUAAUGAGGUUUAAUUACCCAUGUCCAUGUUUAAUGCAGAAUGUCCUAUUGAAGGCAUUGUAGCCAGAGCUCUGGAGGUUGGGUCAUGGAAUUUCCAGAUUUUAGAUCUGGAACUGAGGCACAGAGAGGCUAAGUGGCUUUUCUCAUGUCACAUUGUGACAUAUAGUUGAGGCUGACAAUCAGACCUGGCACUCCGCGCCAGGUUAGGGCUGGUGAGUCAAGGCCUCUGAAAGGCUCGAGGGCCCAAAGUAGUGGGUCCCCCGGGAACCAUAAUACUGAAGAGUUGCAUUUUGAUCCAUUUUUUACUUCUAGAACUUAAUAUUACAAUGUGGAAAUAUUAUAUAGUGUUAUCAGAACCUUCAAGGCUCUUAAACAUGACCUUCACAUUCGGAAUUGACUCCAGUUCAACCCUAUGCCUGCAGCAAGUUCCCACUGGGAGAAGAUAAAAUUUUCAUCUCUGGAACUAAUAACCCAUGCUGCCCUGUUCUCCAUGGGAAGGGAGAAAUGGCAAUGGAAACCAACAUGGAGCCAGAGAGAGGAAACAGGUCUACCAGAAGCCUCAGAUUUUCCCUCUCUGGGAGAAGGACUACCAGGCAAGUAGCCCUUGGGUUCUGACAACUUGGGUUUUAGUCCCAAGUGAACAAAGUGUAAAGAAAGCCUUUAAAGAUGUCUGCUUCCGGGAUCCCAAUCUCUGAUUUACAGGCAGAAUCUUUGGAAAGUGAAAUAGGUGGAACCCACCCAGGGUGUGCCCUCUUCCCUGUUCAUCCCCAGUGUGACCCAGGCACCUUUGGUAUUUCCCACCCAGCUUGCCCUGGGUUCUCAGGUGGAUCUUGCUUGAGGACGUUGCAGUAAAAGAAAGCCCUGUGAAAGGCAGUGCCAAGCUCUUGUAGAGACCGGCCCUAGUGCUCACUGCAGGAUGACUAGAAUUAGCAGUAAUAUAUUAUGUACUUGCAAACAGCUAGAAGGAGACUAUUGACUGCUCUCGACACAAAUAAAUGAUAAAUGUUUGAGAUGAUGCAUAUGCUAAUUACCCUGAUCUGAUCACUAUACAUUAGAGGUAUUGAAACACCACUGUAUACCCCCAUGAAUAUGUACAAUGAUUAUCUGUCACAUUU